rnacentral:rRNA from 1 species
UACAGAGGGGGCAAGCGUUGUUCGGAAUUACUGGGCGUAAAGGGCGCGUAGGCGGCCUUCUAAGUCGAACGUGAAAUCCCUGGGCUCAACCCAGGAACUGCGUCCGAUACUGAAAGGCUUGAAUCCGGGAGAGGGAUGCGGAAUUCCAGGUGUAGCGGUGAAAUGCGCAGAUAUCAGGAGGAACACCGGUGGCGAAGGCGGGUCUCUGGGCAACAACUGACGCUGAGGAGCGAAAGCGUGGGGAGCGAACAGG